GAAUUCCCUUCAUGAUAGACUAUAAGGUAUAUGAUGAAAACUUGCUUUUAUUCAUGGUGUCUGAUUACAAUAGAAAGCAAACUAAGACAUGUUACUCGUUCUGAUAUUAGAAAGCUCCGUUUCAAAGUCAAAACUUAUGAGAAGUAACAGUAAUUUCCUAUGACCUGAUAGGACCAAAGAGAGCCACCUGCCAGUUCCACGUUGUGAAAUCUCAAGAGCAGAAAGAAGCUGAAGAUUAACGUCACAGUCCUUGAUCAACGAUACCAAAAUUAAUGGGUCCAUCAGCAUGGCCUGUGGAGACACCCUCUUCAUUUAUAUUGCAUUUCUUCCAAGUCAUAAUUGGGCAUGUAAUCUGUGCAGUCUCUAAGUGCAUUCUGGGAAAGAAGC